GAACGCUGGCGGCGUGCCUAAUACAUGCAAGUCGAGCGGCUUCGGCUUCGGCCAAUAGCGGCGGACGGGUGAGUAACACGUAGGUAACCUGCCUCAUCGACUGGGAUAACAUCCGGAAACGGAUGCUAAGACCGGAUAGUAACUUUGGCCGCAUGGCUGGGGUUGGAAACAUGGGCUACAUGGCGAUGAGAUGGACCUGCGGCGCAUUAGCUAGUUGGUGAGGUAACGGCUCACCAAGGCGACGAUGCGUAGCCGACCUGAGAGGGUGACCGGCACACUGGGACUGAGACACGGCCCAGACUCCUACGGGAGGCAGCAGUAGGGAAUCUUCCGCAAUGGGCGCAAGCCUGACGGAGCAACGCCGCGUGAGUGACGAAGGUCUUCGGAUCGUAAAGCUCUGUUGCCAAGGAAGAAAGGUCAGUAGAGGGAAUGCUACUGAAGUGACGGUACUUGAGAAGAAAGCCCCGGCUAACUACGUGCCAGCAGCCCGCGGUAAUACGUAGGGGGCAAGCGUUGUCCGGAAUUAUUGGGCGUAAAGCGCGCGCAGGCGGUUUGUUAAGUCUGAUGUGAAAGGCAAGGGCUCAACCCUUGUAGCAUUGGAAACUGACAGACUGGAGUGCAGCAGAAGAAAGUGGAAUUCCACGUGUAGCG
rnacentral:rRNA from 1 species